CCGACGUGGACACCCAGAGUUGCUCUCUGGCUCUGUCCUGGUGGCGUUUGGGAGCGUAGCUCUGAGCCAAGACGUAUAAUCCCAUUCCACGAUGUCGGAUAGAAAGCUCCGUCCCCGGUUCCUGACCGGUGAGGAUGAGCGUCCUGCAUAUUCCUACGUCUUCCCAGAGUCCUUUGGGGCCAUUACUGGGGAGCGAGACCAUGCAGGACACAUGU